UCUAGCAACCAGCGGGCGCAAGAAACCCUAGCUCUUUCUCCCUGCGCUCUUACGCCGCCGCCACCCCCGCGAGGAGAGAACUUCGACAGCAGCCGUCCCCGUUAGAUUCCCCUCGCGAGCCAGACCCCCUCCUCUCCUCCCGCUCCCUUUCGCCGUGCGCUCACCGGAUCUGCUGGCAGAAGACGAUUUCGGGCAUCCCCAGGCUUGGUCGGCCGUCCAACGGCCUCGAGCCUGUCUUCUCCCGACGACAUCAGUCGAGUCCGUGCGGUUCAUGAUGGCGUCCGCCACGGGUUUCCUCGUCGUCUCGUCCACCGCGGGCUCCCGCAUCCUCUCGCUCUCAUCCGGCUUCCUACGCCGGGGGAGGCGCAUCGACGCUCGGUGACGCCGGAUCUUGUUGAAGAAGACGACCCCCGGCUCCCCCAGGCUAGUCCGGCCGGAUUGUUCUUCAUUCGCUCCCCCGACGAAGGUCUGCUCCACAUCUGCCACCCGUCUAUCCCUUUUCCCUCAGGCUCAGACGUUUCUUUCUUAAUCUUCCUCUUAUGGGCUGCUUCUUUGCAUGAACCUAUGACGUUGAUUUGCGGUGGGAACCCGAAGACGGCGACCUCCUCGCUUUGCUGGGGCAUGAACCAACGACCAGGGACCAGACCCAGACCUUGCCUUUCGCUUCAGGGGCCUCCUCGACCAGAUCCCCUCCGACUUGGUCUUCCUCACCGACGCUGGCUUGACGACUGGCCGAACUGCUACGCAGACAACCUGAUCAGAAGUAGAGCAAGGGGAACCAAAAGGAGAAAAAAGGCGCCGUUAUCUAGCCACACCAACUGCUGCCCAAUAAGGUGCCGAAGUACAAGCAGAUAAUCCUCUGUCAGUGCUCCAAGGUGAAGAUCGGCAAGUUCCUGGAAUAAGCGCUGCCUGCUUGAACUGGCCUGCUUCUUGACCUCCUUCCACAAGGAUAGAGCUAAGAAACUCCUAUCCUCGAUGAAUUUAACGCAAUGAAACAUGAAGUCUUACUGUGCACAUGAAUGCAUACCUUUUCCCCAAUGCAUUUGUUACUUCAUUAGUAAAAUAAAUAUAUGCCAUGCCUUCGGUACAAUCUUUGCCAUGUAAUCUGUAGUGUUUAAUUCCUUUCCAGUAAAUUGGCUCACCUUUUAUUCUCCCUGAUGCCAAAUUGUAAUCAGCUAGUAGGUACUUCAGGACUAACAGCUUUGACAGUAGAAACACAGGUCAUUGAGAUGGCUUGUACCUUUGAUAUGGUGUUCAAUACAAUAUCUGCUAUACAUCUUACUGGUUUUUAAAAUGAAUCGUAUGUUUUUUGCUAGUCGUUAUUGGAUUAAUGUUGUUAUUUUCACCAUAGCAGUAGUUCCUGUACUUCUAGUGAAGAUUGUUUUUUCCUAAAAAUAUUUUACUUCAAACUCCAAACUCUGAACCUCCUCUGGCUGUGUGUGCUCUGCAGGUCAGUGAUUUCAUUCACAAAACAAACAACCUUGUACUCCUCGUGGCAGAUUCUCUUCAUGGAGAAGAGCAUCCUAAACAAGAUGUCAUGGACCAUCACUGUUCACACUUAAUCAUGGUGUGGUUUGCCAAGGCCAACGGUAGAAACAUGGUUUAUGUCAGCUUUUGAUUCUCCCUUCUCUCCUUUGCCGACAGUGCGUUUACAAAUUAAUGAGCUCCAGGCCGAGGAAGUUUAAGAAUCUUGAAGUUGUGAAGCCCAGCUCAGCAAAUACUAGCUACUUAUUAUGAUAGUUAGCAUAUUUGGGUUGUAAUUUUACUGUAAUGGUUGUAAUGGAGUAAAGUUAGCAGAUAUUUGAAGAUUUCCACGUGUUCUCUCUAUCUGUUUGAAAUAUCAUUAUGUUUGAUCUAAUAAUUUGUGGAAU